rnacentral:rRNA from 1 species
CAGCCCUUGACAUCCUGGGACCGGUGCAGAGAUGCACUUUCCACUUCGGUGGCUCAGAGACAGGUGCUGCAUGGCUGUCGUCAGCUCGUGUCGUGAGAUGUUGGGUUAAGUCCCGCAACGAGCGCAACCCUCGCCCUUAGUUGCCAGCAUUUAGUUGGGCACUCUAAGGGGACUGCCGGUGAUAAGCCGAGAGGAAGGUGGGGAUGACGUCAAGUCCUCAUGGCCCUUACGGGCUGGGCUACACACGUGCUACAAUGGUGGUGACAGUGGGCAGCGAGCACGCGAGUGUGAGCUAAUCUCCAAAAGCCAUCUCAGUUCGGAUUGCACUCUGCAACUCGAGUGCAUGAAGUUGGAAUCGCUAGUAAUCGCGGAUCAGCAUGCCGCGGUGAAUACGUUCCC